AAGUGACUCCGUUUGCUUUGGGAACAGCACACAACUGCAACAUGAAGUCUGCCAUUGCUGUCCUUCUCUGUGCUUUGGUGGCUAGUGCCAUGGGAGUAUACCUUCUGGGAGGAGAUUCAAACCUUAUCGGCGUGGGUGGAACCGGCUAUGGUGGCGGCUAUGGUGGCGACUACGGCAGCUACGGCGGUGCCUACGGCGGCUACGGCAUCGGCUAAGGCGGCUACGGCAGAGGCUAUGGUGGCGGCUAUGGCCCUGGAAGUAGUGGCGGGUAUAUGUCUACGGCUACGGACCCGGCUACACGACAAAGGAUUAAAAUGCUCGCUUGAGUAAUGCACUGUGUCUGCUCCAAUCUAAUAAAUUCGGGGCUGAUCAGA